rnacentral:rRNA from 1 species
CCCUUAGAUGUUCUGGGCCGCACACGCGCUACACUGAAGGAGGCAGCGUGUACUCCUGGAUCGAAAGAUUUGGGUAACCCGCGAAUCUCCUUCGUGCUAGGGAUUGAGGUUUGCAAUUAUCCUUCAUGAACGAGGAAUUCCCAGUAAGUGCAAGUCAUAAGCUUGCGCUGACUACGUCCCUGCCCUUUGUACACACCGCCCGUCGCUACUACCGAUUGAAUGAUUUAGUGAGACUUCGGACUGGGACCGAUGCGGCUUUCGGGCUGCGUCGGUAUUCUGGAAAGAUGUCCAAACUGUAUCAUUUAGAGGAAGUAAAAGUCGUAACA